rnacentral:rRNA from 1 species
GAUGAACGCUGGCGGCGUGCCUAAUACAUGCAAGUCGAGCGAAUGGAUUAAGAGCUUGCUCUUAUGAAGUUAGCGGCGGACGGGUGAGUAACACGUGGGUAACCUGCCCAUAAGACUGGGAUAACUCCGGGAAACCGGGGCUAAUACCGGAUAACAUUUUGAACCGCAGGGUUCGAAAUUGAAAGGCGGCUUCGGCUGUCACUUAUGGCUGGACCCGCGUCGCAUUAGCUAGUUGGUGAGGUAACGGCUCACCAAGGCAACGACGCGUAGCCGACCUGAGAGGGUGAUCGGCCACACUGGGACUGAGACACGGCCCAGACUCCUACGGGAGGCAGCAGUAGGGAAUCUUCCGCAAUGGACGAAAGUCUGACGGAGCAACGCCGCGUGAGUGAUGAAGGCUUUCGGGUCGUAAAACUCUGUUGUUAGGGAAGAACAAGUGCUAGUUGAAUAAGCUGGCACCUUGACGGUACCUAACCAGAAAGCCACGGCUAACUACGUGCCAGCAGCCGCCGUAA